AGGGCACAGGGCAGGGCAGGAGCAAGAGCCUCAGGCCUCUCCAGAAGAAAUCAGCCUGUCUGGGUGCUGUUCUCAGCUGGGGUUGCUGGGAAAGAGUGAGGGAUGUCUGCUGUACAGAAAACAUCAGCCUGGAAGACUGCUUAUGAAUCCACCUGCUGCCACUUGCUGCCACGGUUCCUAUUCUCACCUGGCCUGCGUCAAUUCAGUUAAACCAAGUCCAUCCUUCAUGCAGUUUUCCUGCACAAAGUGACUUCCGUGGGUACCCCCAGCUCCUUGCACAUCUUCUGUGAUGGACUUGAAAUUCCAGGGCAGCUUUUUCUUCUACCAGUAUACCCGUGACUUUCCCCCUACUGCCCACCUGGUUGGAAUGCGAUGGCGUGAUCUCGGCUCACUGCAACCUCCGCCUCCCGGGUUCAAGCAAUUCUCCUGCCUCAACCUCCAAAGUAACUGGGAUUUACAGGCACCCACCACCACUCCCAGCUAAUUUUUUUGUAUUUUUAGUAGAGAUGGGGUUUCACUUUUUUGGCCAGGCUGGUCUCAAACUCCUGACCUCAGAUGAUCCGCCCAUCCUGGCCUCCCAAAGUGCUGGGAUUAUAGGCAUGACCCACCGUACCCGGCCGGGUACCACACACUUUUAAACAGCCAGCUCUCACAAGAACUCACUAUCAUGAGUACAGCACCAAGACAUUCAUGAGGGAUCUGCCCCCAGGACACAAACACCGCCCACCAGGCCCCACUUCCAACAUUGCAAUCACUUUUCAACGUGAGAUUUGGAGGGGACGAAUAUUCAAACCAUAUCAGUGCCCACAGUGGCAACUGGCUUGCUAACAUACCCCACAUUGUUGCCCCCAUCCCCUGCCUCACUUCCCCGCUCCCCUACCUAUGUUUCCUGGGAUCAAACUGCAAAUAAACUGCUUCCACUCAAA